CAGGGACAUCAGAAGAAUAUACAAAAAGGGGACUAGAAGAGUCUAGGGAAGGGGAGGCACCAGUACUUGUGUUAGAAGCCAUAGUCAAUGAACCAGCUUAAAUGAACAACUUUUUCAACAAACAGAAUACAACCAAAAUAGGUAUCCACAUACAACAACCAACAAAUAGAAUACAUUCAAGUCAGGUAUUCACAGACAACACCAGAUGCUCACAAGUACACAGUCAAACAAU
rnacentral:lncRNA from 1 species